rnacentral:rRNA from 1 species
AGAGUUUGAUCCUGGCUCAGAUUGAACGCUGGCGGCAUGCCUUACACAUGCAAGUCGAACGGCAGCGCGGGAGCAAUCCUGGCGGCGAGUGGCGAACGGGUGAGUAAUAUAUCGGAACGUGCCUUAGAGUGGGGGAUAACUAGUCGAAAGACUAGCUAAUACCGCAUACGACCUACGGGUGAAAGUGGGGGAUCGCAAGACCUCAUGCUCUUAGAGCGGCCGAUAUCUGAUUAGCUAGUUGGUGGGGUAAAAGCCUACCAGGGCGACGAUCAGUAGCUGGUCUGAGAGGACGACCAGCCACACUGGGACUGAGACACGGCCCAGACUCCUACGGGAGGCAGCAGUGGGGAAUUUUGGACAAUGGGGGCAACCCUGAUCCAGCAAUGCCGCGUGUGUGAAGAAGGCCUUCGGGUUGUAAAGCACUUUUGUUCGGAAAGAAAUCGCUCUGGCUAAUAUCCGGAGUGGAUGACGGUACCGAAGA